rnacentral:rRNA from 1 species
UACGUAGGGUGCAAGCGUUGUCCGGAAUUAUUGGGCGUAAAGAGCUCGUAGGCGGCUUGUCGCGUCGGCUGUGAAAACCUGGGGCUCAACCCCGGGCCUGCAGCCGAUACGGGCAAGCUAGAAUUCGGUAGGGGAGACUGGAAUUCCUGGUGUAGCGGUGAAAUGCGCAGAUAUCAGGAGGAACACCUGCGGUGUAGACGGCUUUCUGGACCAUUGCUGACGCUGAGACACGAAAGCGUGGGGAGCGAACAGG